AAUUAAUAUUAUUGUUUUAUGAAAAUUUAGAAAUUUAAUAUUAAUAAAAAUAAAUUUGUGUUAAUGUAUAAUUAAUAGAUUUAAUUACUUUUACGAUAGUGAAUUAGUAUUGUGGGAGAAAUAGUUAUUAAAUAUUUAUUUAUAUUAAUAUAAGAUAAUUUAAUUUAUUGUAUCUUGUGUUUCAGAGUAUAUUAAAAUGAAUAAUUUACUUUUUUUUCUCUCGAAUUUAAAAGAAUUAAUUAAAUAAUUUAGUUAUUGUGUCAAAAAUAUUAAAAAUGUUUAAUUGGUAAUGAGAUGUUAAUCGUUUUUAAGGAUAUCUAGUUUUUUAAUAAAUGAAUUUAAUUCAUAAAAUGUAAUUUAUUUUAUAAUUUUGUUAUAAAAAUAUUUUACAUUUUAAAUUUCUUUAAGGAAAAGCUUUAAGAAAUAUAAAUUAUAAUGUAAUAAUUUGAUUAGGAUUAUAUAAAUUUAGAAUUUGUUAUUAAUUUUAGGAUGUUAAAAUUAAUUUCUUUGUUUAAGUUAUUUUAUAUGUAUUUAGUUUUUUUAUUAAAAUAUAAAAAUGAAUUUAAUAUUUUUUGUAAAAAUGAUUUAAUUAGUAAAUUAUUAAAGUAUUUAUUAUUAAGAAGUGAUUUUAUUAAAAAGAAUUAGGCAAAUAUUUUACUCGCCUGUUUAUUAAAAACAUGUUUUCUUGAUUGGUAUAAGAAAUUUAACCUGCCCACUGAAAGAUUUUGAAGGGCCGCAGUAUUUUGACUGUGCAAAGGUAGCAUAAUCAUUAGUCUUUUAAUUAAAGGCUUGUAUGAAUGGUUGGACGAGGUAAAAUCUGUUUUAUAAUAAUAUGUUGAAUUUUGAUUUUAAGUAAAAAGACUUAAAUAAAAUUAAGGGACGAGAAGACCCUAUAGAGUUUAAUAAUUAAUUUUUUAAUUGAGUUUAAGUGUAAUUUUUGGUUGAGAAUAUAAAAUUAUUUAAUUGGGGUGAUUAAAAGAUAAAGGAAACUCUUUUUUAAUUUUAAUAUAAAUUAAUAGUAAUAUGAUCCAUUAUAAUGAUUAUAAGAUUAAAUUACCUUAGGGAUAACAGCAUAAUUUCUUUUAAGAGUUCUUAUCAAAAAAGAAGAUUAUGACCUCGAUGUUGGAUUAAGAUAAAUUUUGGGUGUAGGUGUUCAAAUAUUAGGUCUGUUCGACCUUUAAAAUCUUACAUGAUCUGAGUUUAAACCGGCGUGAGCCAGGUUGGUUUCUAUCUUUAAUAAUUAAAUAUUUUAGUACGAGAGGACCAAAUAUUUAAAAUAAUUUUUAUUAUUAUGAAUUUUAUUAAUUU
rnacentral:rRNA from 1 species